GACUGUUUACCAAAAACACAGAUCUCCUCAAAGUCGUAAGAUCAUGUAUGGGGGCUGACGCUUGCCCAGUGCCGGAAGGUCAAGGAAGUUGGUGACCUGAUGACAGGAUAGCCGGCGACCGAAGCCCCGAUGAACGGUGGCCGUAACUAUGACGGUCCUAAGGUAGCGAAAUUCCUUGUCGAGUAAGUUCCGCCCCGCACGAAAGGCUCAC
rnacentral:ncRNA from 1 species